rnacentral:antisense_RNA from 1 species
AGUCGCCGCAGCCGCGGAGUGAGGGAGCGAGAGUCUUCCUUAGCUUCCCCGCCAUGGGCGUCGCUUCGUAGCCGGGCUGCUCCGGGAAAGGCCUCGUACAGCACGCAUUCACCAGAAUCCUGUCAGCUUUCCUCUUCUCAUCCAGACGCCUGGCCAGGAUCCUUGAUAAGACCGUGACCCCCAACUUAGACACCCCAUAAGGUUCCCAGAUGAUGUGACAGCUACUGGUUUCCAGCCACACCUUGAGAACACUUGGCUUUCACUAUCACUUCUUAAACUUAAAGGGUCUUCUCUGUUGCCAGGCUGGAGUGCAGUGCUGCAGUCAUGGCUCACUGUAGUGUCAAUCUCCUGAGCUCAGGAAAACUAGACAAUCCACCAGCCCAGGAGGGGACAAGCAGGCUUAAUCCCCCUCCUCGUCAUCUCUGGCUCCAGCCCCACCCUGGCCCUUCCUGGCAUUCUUCCUCUUCACGUGGCUGGGGUGGCCACCCCAAUAGGGAGGCAGAGGGAGAAGUCCAUGUGCUUCUGGGAAUCCAGGCGGACAGUGAAGAACAGGAUAUUUACCACCUGCUCACGGAUAUGAUACUGUUGGAUCAGCACACGAGCGUGGCGGAUGGACUUAAGCCAAGCCCAGCUUGAAGACCUGGGUCUGUAG